rnacentral:rRNA from 1 species
GAUGAACGCUGGCGGCGUGCCUAAUACAUGCAAGUCGAGCGGAGAAUUUAGCAAUAGAUUCUUAGCGGCGAACGGUGAGUAACGCGUUGGUGACCUGCCUCGAAGUUUGGGAUAACAGUCCGAAAGGACUGCUAAUACCGGAUGUGAUCGCGGAGAUUAGAGGCUCUGUGAUUAAAAGGAGAAAUUCGCUUCGAGAGGGGCCUGCGUCCCAUCAGCUAGUUGGUAAGGUAAGGCUUACCAAGGCGAUGACGGGUAGGGGACCUGAGAGGGUGGCCCCCCACAAUGGAACUGAAACACGGUCCAUACACCUACGGGUGGCAGCAGUAGGGAAUAUUGCAUAAUGGGCGAAAGCCUGAUGCAGCAACGCCGCGUGUGCGAUGAAGGCCUUCGGGUCGUAAAGCACUUUUGGAGGGGAUGAGGAAGGACAGUACCCUUCGAAUAAGACUCCGGCUAACUACGUGCCAGCAGCCGCGGUAA